GCUGGGUCCCCUCCAUGUUUUAGUCAAGUUCAAAAUCACUGCCUCGAGGGAAGCAGGGGGAAGUGGGAUUCGAGAGGUGGGGUGGAGGAGGAGGGGAAAGAAAAUGAGGCAGAGACAGAAAUGGAGGCAGCAAAACACAAAAUACUCCACAAGCAAGAGUUAUGAUCAUAAUCACGCUAAUAGUGUGAUGUUCUGAUCAAUAUGGCGGACACUGUCAUUCAUACAACUAGAGGCGCUCCCCUUCCCUCCCCCAAAACACCGACCCCAGGAGUUGGGGUGGGGAACCCAGUACCAACGUAGGGAGUGGGGGAGGGGAGGCAAAACCGGGUCUCUUCUGUGUGAGCACGAAUUAAAAACCAGGACCGGGGAGCAAUUAUGGUUGAUCAAGAUAAUAAAAACGACAUAAAAUUAUUAAUAAAAGUACAAAUCCCAAUGCCAUAGGGACUUACUUCA
rnacentral:lncRNA from 1 species